GACGAACGCUGGCGGCGUGCCUAACACAUGCAAGUCGAACGGGGAGUUAUUUAUAACUCCUAGUGGCGAACGGGUGAGUAACGCGUAGACAACCUGCCUCUAAAUUGGGGACAACACCGCGAAAGUGGUGCUAAUACCGAAUGUGGUAACUUGGUCGCAUGACGAGGUUAAGAAAGAUGGCCUCUAUAUAUAAGCUAUCGAUUAGAGAUGGGUCUGCGUCUGAUUAGCUAGUUGGGGAGGGAAUGGCCCACCAAGGGGACGAUCAGUAGCCGGUCUGAGAGGAUGAACGGCCACACUGGGACUGAGACACGGCCCAGACUCCUAUGGGAGGCAGAAGUGGGGAAUCUUCCGCAAUGGACGAAAGUCUGACGGAGCAACGCCGCGUGAGUGAAGAAGGUCUUCGGAUUGUAAAGCUCUGUCGUUUGGGACGAACGUGGAUUGUGUGAAUAAUGCAGUCUAAUGACGGUACCAAAGGAGGAAGCCACGGCUAACUACGUGCCAGCAGCCGCCGUAA
rnacentral:rRNA from 1 species